ACAACAGAGAGGCGGGAGAGGGCUAAGUGUCACCUUUACAAUCAGUGGAGGCUCAGCCAAGGUCAAGACCGUCUGUGGCAACCCAGUGGGCCUGCCCUGGGGUACCCAAGCCCACUGCCUUGCCCACCCACCCAGGCUCUGGGACUAGAAGGAAGGUGGGGUGGGCUGCAGGAGCCCCGUGAUUCUUUCUGAAUCUCCAGGGACAUCACUGCUCCACGCUGGAACAGAGAGAGCCAUGGCGGGGAGACAGGCUAUGGGAGACCCCACUGUGGAAACAGGAGUGGGGAGAAGCCAGGCCCCCUGGCCUCAGCAAAGCCUUGGAACCGCAUUGGACGGCCCCACCGCAGUGCUGGGACAGUGGGGUUGGGGUGAUGCCUUCCACCCCCGGUGUGUGGACCCAGGUGUCCUGUCAGUUGUGAGUGCCGAGUAAAGACAUCAGCAGCAGCCCCAGGCCUCCCCACCAGGGCCUGGCAGGACACCAGGCCCACGCCCAGAUUCCGUGGUUUGAGGGAAGUUUGACCAGAGCUAUGUGCGAGGUGUGGCAGAGUGUGGGGUGCUCACAGCCAGGGUGGCAGCAGGUGGUGAGCUGCCACUGGGGAGGCGUGGUCGAUGGAGCC
rnacentral:lncRNA from 10 species